rnacentral:rRNA from 1 species
AGAGUUUGAUCCUGGCUCAGAACGAACGCUGGCGGCAGGCUUAACACAUGCAAGUCGAACGCACCUUCGGGUGAGUGGCAGACGGGUGAGUAACGCGUGGGAACGUGCCCUUCAGUUCGGAAUAACCCAGGGAAACUUGGGCUAAUACCGGAUACGUGCGAGAGCAGAAAGAUUUAUCGCUGAAGGAUCGGCCCGCGUCUGAUUAGCUAGUUGGUGGGGUAAUGGCCCACCAAGGCGACGAUCAGUAGCUGGUCUGAGAGGAUGAUCAGCCACAUUGGGACUGAGACACGGCCCAAACUCCUACGGGAGGCAGCAGUGGGGAAUAUUGGACAAUGGGCGCAAGCCUGAUCCAGCCAUGCCGCGUGAGUGAUGAAGGCCUUAGGGUUGUAAAGCUCUUUCGGCGGGGACGAUAAUGACGGUGCCCGCAGAAGAAGCCCCGGCUAACUUCGUGCCAGCAGCCGCGGUAAUACGAAGGGGGCUAGCGUUGUUCGGAAUCACUGGGCGUAAAGGGCGCGUAGGCGGCUUGAUAAGUCGGGGGUGAAAGCCUGUGGCUCAACCACAGAAUUGCCUUCGAUACUGUCUGGCUUGAGACCGGAAGAGGUAAGUGGAACUGCGAGUGUAGAGGUGAAAUUCGUAGAUAUUCGCAAGAACACCAGUGGCGAAGGCGGCUUACUGGUCCGGUUCUGACGCUGAGGCGCGAAAGCGUGGGGAGCAAACAGGAUUAGAUACCCUAGUAGUCC